CUCUCUUUCUCUCUGUAUUCCCUCAGUCUUUCUCGAAACUAAAUCUCUCAUCUCUCUCCCGUAUCCCUCGCAUCCCUCCCGUGAACACGCACGCACGCACGAAGGAAAAACAACACAGGAAACCUCCGGCGAAUCUUCUUUUUUUCCGGCUAGGUCGAGAUCGACACACGGGGUGAGCACACCCAUUUCUCCGACGAACCUGUGAGCGCCGUGGACUUUUCUGAGCAAAUCCGGUCAAUUCAAUUCGAUUUGAAGGUAUAGAUGAAUAUGAGACUAAAUUUUUUGUAUCGAGUUCAGGCCAUGGGUCUCCCAUAUGAUCAAGUGCUGAAAAUUUCAAUAAAAAUUAGUGAAAAAUACUGAUAUGUUGAGUAUUUGGUGUACCCUGGAUGACUCUCACAAGGCAGAUUUCAUUAAAAUAUUUAUGGAUGACAUCUGAGCAUUAGGGGGUUUAGUAUGAUAUGAAUGAACUAUAUCAACUUCUGGGGUUUAGUAAGACAUUAUCUUUCUUUUCUUUUUUCUUUAAGUCAAGAUGAAUGUUUAAUUUGGGAUUUCAUGUUUAAGCUCUGGAUAUUUCAUGUUUAUUGCUUUAGCAAGAUAAUAUCAUUAAACUUCUAUAUUUUUCAUCCU